rnacentral:rRNA from 1 species
UACAGAGGGUGCGAGCGUUAAUCGGAGUGACUGGGCGUAAAGGGCGCGUAGGCGGUGAGAUGAGUGUGAUGUGAAAGCCCCGGGCUUAACCUGGGAAGUGCAUCGCAAACGAUCUGACUGGAGUUUGGGAGAGGGUGGCGGAAUUUCCGGUGUAGCGGUGAAAUGCGUAGAGAUCGGAAGGAACGUCGAUGGCGAAGGCAGCCACCUGGCCCAAAACUGACGCUGAGGCGCGAAAGCGUGGGGAGCGAAC